rnacentral:tRNA from 1 species
AGGCGCGUCGUAUAAUGGUAGUACGGCGGUCUCCAAAACCGCCUGCGUAGGUUCGAUUCCUACCGCGCCUGCCA